rnacentral:rRNA from 1 species
CCUACGGGAGGCAGCAGUGAGGAAUAUUGGUCAAUGGCCGUAAGGCUGAACCAGCCAAGUCGCGUGAAGGAAGAAGGAUCUAUGGUUUGUAAACUUCUGUUAUAGGGGAAUAAAGGUAUCCACGUGUGGAUAUUUGCAUGUACCCUAUGAAUAAGCAUCGGCUAACUCCGUGCCAGCAGCCGCGGUAAUACGGAGGAUGCGAGCGUUAUCCGGAUUUAUUGGGUUUAAAGGGUGCGGAGGUUUUUUUUUAAGUCAGCGGUGAAAGUUUGUGGCUCAACCAUAAAAUUGCCGUUGAAACGGGCAGUCUUUAUUGUGUUUGCGGUCGGCGGACUGC